rnacentral:rRNA from 1 species
GCUUGUCUCAAAGAUUAAGCCAUGCAUGUCUUAGUGUAAAUAACUCUUAUGAAACUGCGAAUGGCUCAUUAUAUAAGUUAUCGUUUAUUUGAUAGUGCCUGUCCUACUUGGAUAACCGUGGUAAUUCUAGAGCUAAUACAUGCUAAAAACCCCAACUUCGGAAGGGGUGUAUUUAUUAGAUUAAAAGCCAAUGCCCUUCGGGGCUCAAUGGUGAUUCAUAAUAACUUCACGGAUCGCACGGCCUUGCGCCGGCGAUGGUUCAUUCAAAUUUCUUCCCUAUCAACUUUCGAUGUUUGGGUCUUGGCCAAACAUGGUGGCAACGGGUAACGGAGGGUUAGGGCUCGACCCCGGAGAAGGAGCCUGAGAAACGGCUACUACAUCCAAGGAAGGCAGCAGG